AAAAAAAGAAAGAAAUCAUGGCAAGCUCUGAGUGAUGCUCAAAUCCACCAGCCCUGAACCCGUCCAGCGGCUCUGGCCACGUCGAAAAGCUCGGUGGUUUCGAUACCUAUGUCACUGGCUCCCCUGACUCCAAGCUUUCCGUUCUUCUCGUCCAUGAUGCUUUUGUUGAUUGCAUUGCUGUUCUAUAAGAAAACCACCUGUUAAUGUUAAAUUUUGUUUGGCCAUGGAGGGUAUGAAGCUCCAAAGGCAAGGAACCUUGCAGACAAAAUUGCAGCUGCUGGGUUCAUUGUUGUGCUCCCUAACUUCUUCAACGGAGACCCUUUUAAUGGGGACCAUGCCUCUAUUCCCGUUUGGAGAAAAGCUCAUGCACCGGUUGGUUCUUUUGUUUUGAUGCAGAUUCUAAAUAUUUUGUUUGUUUGUAAUAUAAGUCCUUUCACAAGUAUCUGUAUGUAUGUGAUUCGUGAAUUUACUUAGACCUUGGGAGACAUUUUCAUUUCAGCUUGGCAUGUAGGAAGUGUAGAGGGAUGGAAAUACUUAACAAGUUUAUAGGAAAUCUGAGUUGCUACAGCAAAGCUCUUGUAUUACUUCUUAUUGUAACUCUCUUGAUACAAAAUGAUAUGCCAAAGGCUAUAUAAAGAGAAUACAAAGUACUAGAGAGU